ACGUUGAUGAACACCUGUUUGGCAGCGAAUUCAGGAUAAUUGUCUUGGAAUAGUUGCAGAGCUCGCCUGGUGGCGUUUCUGAGCUCCCACUUGGUGAGUCCAGGCGAGUUUUUGAGGUCGUUGACUUGAACAAUGGUGGAGAUGCCAUUGGGGCUGAAGUCGAGCUUUCUGAUGCUCUUCUCCAGAAACUGAAUCCUCCAUCGGAGGAAUUUGAGGCUCUUUUCGUCGUCGGAGAAGGUGAUCUGAUACAAGUCCUUGUUCUCGAACUCACCGAACACGUUGUAACAGACUGGGUGGCCUUCCCUGUCGAGGCCAUGGGAGAACACCACUUUGUCCCACUGGUUCCCCAAGUCCUCGUCCAGUAGAGCCUCGAUGCCGAAUUGUUUUCGCCAACGAACCGUGUUCUUGAUCAUCGUGAAAGCAUCCUUCACCUUGAAGUCUCUGGCUCGGAGGAAUUUCAACAGGAUCACAUCGCUCCUUUCGUCGCCAAGGAGAGGAAUUCCCCAGAUGAACACCUCCUCUGGUGGAGGUGGCGGCACAGGUUCCGCCGCUUCUACUACGGCCUCAGCCUCCGCCUCUUCCUUGGGCAGGGCUGUUUCCUCCGGCUGCGGGGCCGAGACGGAAACUACAGUUUCCUCGAUCGCUUCCACCGUCUUGGCAUCAUCCUCGUCGAUAACUGCCACUUUCUCCACCACCGUCGAUGGCUCUGCCGCCUUCUCUUCGGGUUUUGGAGCCAGCGAAGUCUCGGGCGCAGGAGUAGGAGUGAUGGUGUCUUCCACCUUCACCGUCACAGUCUCUGGUUCAGGUUCGGGUUUGGGAGGCUCUUCGAUCACAACUUCCUUUGGAGGUUGUUCCUCGGGUACAGCUUCUUUGGGAGCAUCGGAUUUGUCUUCGAUUUUAGGAUCUUCAGCAGGCUUUUGGGGUUCUUCCUUCUUCUCCUCGGCCGGCUUGUCUUCUUCCUUAGCCGGCGGAGGGGGUGGAGGAGCAGUGAAGUCGUGGUUAUUGAGAGCCUCCUGAAUCAGGAGCUUUAGAUCAGCCAGCGCCUUCCUCUGAGACUCGGGAAGCUCAGCAACAACGUUGGUCUCCUCCUUGAAAGAAACCGACUGAGAAAUCUUUUCAAAGUCAUCGGCCGCCUUGGGCUUGUCGGCCUCUGCAACUUCCUCCACGGAAUCAGGGUUAGCAGGAGGAGGAUUUGGUAGUUCCUUCUCAGGGGCAGGGGCAGGGGCAGGG
rnacentral:misc_RNA from 1 species